rnacentral:lncRNA from 12 species
CUUUAUAUCUAAUAUAGAGGACGAUAAAUAAUGUAAUAGUACAAAUUAAAUGAAAUCUGACUGAAAUAGAUUAAGCCUUUUUGGCUGAAGUUCUUCCAUCUCUGUUUUCCAUUUGUUUAUUUCUAAAGAGACAAAGCCAAGUGCUGCAAUUUUGACUGAAAUGUCCCAAUCGGCCUUUUCUCUUGCAGUUUAUUUGGGGAACCUCAGCUGACUCAGCCGUUUAACCAGCUGCUGUAUCAAACCACUCAGGACCAUGAUGACGUUGGUGGUCGCCAGAGGACUUUGAGACAUCCAACGAAUAGGGACUUUAUUAUCAGAUGGAGAUCAGGGGGCCAGGACUCUCUACAUGACCUACGCAGAAGCUGCUGAACCCGAUGCCUCCACAGACCGGAGAGCUGCAUUUUACUGCUGAAGUCUCCGGGACUCUACAAUGACUGAAUUCGGUGAAGUGAGAAAAGGAUGAGAUGGAUGAGGAGCACCACACAUGCUCUGGGGAUAGACAUGUUCUUUUGUUUACA